rnacentral:rRNA from 1 species
GAGUUUGAUCCUGGCUCAGAACGAACGCUGGCGGCAGGCCUAACACAUGCAAGUCGAGCGCUACCUUCGGGUGGAGCGGCGGACGGGUUAGUAACGCGUGGGAAUAUACCCAGUUCUAAGGAAUAGCCACUGGAAACGGUGAGUAAUACCUUAUACGCCCUUCGGGGGAAAGAUUUAUCGGAAUUGGAUUAGCCCGCGUUAGAUUAGAUAGUUGGUGGGGUAAUGGCCUACCAAGUCUACGAUCUAUAGCUGGUUUGAGAGGAUGAUCAGCAACACUGGGACUGAGACACGGCCCAGACUCCUACGGGAGGCAGCAGUGGGGAAUCUUGCACAAUGGAGGAAACUCUGAUGCAGCGAUGCCGCGUGAGUGAAGAAGGCCUUUGGGUUGUAAAGCUCUUUCGUCGGGGAAGAAAAUGACUGUACCCGAAUAAGAAGGUCCGGCUAACUUCGUGCCAGCAGCCGCGGUAAUACGAAGGGACCUAGCGUAGUUCGGAAUUACUGGGCUUAAAGAGUUCGUAGGUGGUUGAAAAAGUUGGUGGUGAAAUCCCAGAGCUUAACUCUGGAACUGCCAUCAAAACUUUUCAGCUAGAGUAUGAUAGAGGAAAGCAGAAUUUCUAGUGUAGAGGUGAAAUUCGUAGAUAUUAGAAAGAAUACCAAUUGCGAAGGCAGCUUUCUGGAUCAUUACUGACACUGAGGAACGAAAGCAUGGGUAGCGAAGAGGAUUAGAUACCCUCGUAGUCCAUGCCGUAAACGAUGUGUGUUAGACGUUGGAAAUUUAUUUUCAGUGUCGCAGGGAAACCGAUAAACACACCGCCUGGGGAGUACGACCGCAAGGUUAAAACUCAAAUGAAUUGACGGGGACCCGCACAAGUAGUGGAGCAUGUGGUUUAAUUCGAAGAUACGCGCAGAACCUUACCAACACUUGACAUGUUCGUCGCGACUCUAAGAGAUUAGAGUUUUCGGUUCGGCCGGACGAAACACAGGUGCUGCAUGGCUGUCGUCAGCUCGUGUCGUGAGAUGUUGGGUUAAGUCCCGCAACGAGCGCAACCCUCACUUUUAGUUGCCAUCAUUAAGUUGGGCACUCUGAAAGAACUGCCAGUGAUAAGCUGGAGGAAGGUGGGGAUGACGUCAAGUCCUCAUGGCCCUUACGUGUUGGGCUACACACGUGCUACAAUGGCAUCUACAACAGGAAGCAAAACGGCAACGUUAAGCAAAUCCCGAAAAGAUGCCUCAGUUCGGAUUGCACUCUGCAACUCGAGUGCAUGAAGCUGGAAUUACUAGUAAUCGUGGAUCAGCGUGCCACGGUGAAUGCGUUCCCGGGUCUUGUACACACCGCCCGUCACACCAUGGGAGUUGGUUCUACCUUAAGGCAAGGUUUUAAACCCUUGACCACGGUAUAGUCAGCGACUGGGGUGAAGUCGUAACAAGGUAACC